rnacentral:rRNA from 1 species
UACGGAGGGGGCUAGCGUUGUUCGGAAUUACUGGGCGUAAAGCGCACGUAGGCGGCUUUGUAAGUUAGAGGUGAAAGCCCGGGGCUCAACUCCGGAACUGCCUUUGAUACUGGGUGUCUUGAGUAUGGAAGAGGUGAGUGGAAUUCCGAGUGUAGAGGUGAAAUUCGUAGAUAUUCGGAGGAACACCAGUGGCGAAGGCGGCUCGCUGGGACGGUACUGACGCUAAGGCGCGAAAGCGUGGGGAGCGAACAGG